rnacentral:tRNA from 1 species
CGAAAAGUAGUAUACAACGAUUACAUUUCGCUUACACCGAAACAAAGGCCCACCGCCCUUCUCGA